rnacentral:pre_miRNA from 1 species
AGGAGCAACCCCAGUGGCUACGGCAGCUAUGGAGCCCUGGAUUCAGCUCCUGCAGUAAUUCCAGAGCUCUCAGUCUGCAGGGUCUUGAGGCUCCUGGGCGGG